AUUUAACCGGAUAAGAGAAGGACCUAAGGUGGGAGAGCUACACUCAUGAGGUACUAGGUCACUGAUUCUCAACAGCAUCUCUGUACCAGUCACACUGGCCUUAUAGAACAAAUGAGUGACCUGAGAUAUUACAGCUUGUAAGAGGUGAAGGAGGGGAACUACUUGAGCAAAAGGCCCAGUGGAUUUGAGCCAAGUUCCAGAAGAG
rnacentral:lncRNA from 1 species